rnacentral:lncRNA from 1 species
AUGGAGCCCGAAUCUGAUGUAUUUUUCGGUCAGGUGUUGUUUGAUUUAUUUGAAUGCAGUAUGGUGCCUGAUGUGUUUAUUAUAUGGUUUCGUAUGCAUGAAUCACGGUUUCAUUUAUUAUGAUUUGAAUUAUUAUGAACCCGAUGUUGUGUUGCCUUAUUUGGUGUCCAUUACUGGUUUACGUAUUUAUGUUUGAUUGGAUAAUUGAGAUUAAGAAAAAAAUAAAAAAAGGUAUGUGAAUUGAUAAAUGGAUAAUGUCGACAGCCUGACUAGAUAUCCUGAGAAAUGGUGGACGGACUGGGUCCAUAGAGAACCCUAACGAGAACGUGGUCUCUCAUAUCGGACGGGGUAUGAAGACUUUAUGUGUUUUGGCGUCCAUAUUGGAUGGGGUAUGGGGACGGCCCGUUUUACCCUCAUACCGGACGGGGUUUUGAGAUUUAUGGUUUUGGCGCCCAUACCGGACGGGGUAUGGGAACGACCCUGG